UACGAAGGGGGCUAGCGUUGCUCGGAAUUACUGGGCGUAAAGGGCGCGUAGGCGGAUAUUUAAGUUAGAGGUGAAGCCCAGGCUCAACCCUGGAAUAGCCUUAAUACUGGAUAUCUUGAGUUCGGGAGAGGUGAGUGGAACUCCGAGUGUAGAGGUGAAAUUCGUAGAUAUUCGGAAGAACACCAGUGGCGAAGGCGACUCACUGGCCCGAUACUGACGCUGAGGCGCGAAGCGUGGGAGCAACAGG
rnacentral:rRNA from 1 species